rnacentral:rRNA from 1 species
UACGUAGGGUGCGAGCGUUGUCCGGAAUUAUUGGGCGUAAAGAGCUCGUAGGCGGUGUGUCACGUCGGCCGUGAAAACCUGCAGCUUAACUGUGGGCGUGCGGUCGAUACGGGCAUCACUGGAGUUCGGCAGGGGAGACUGGAAUUCCUGGUGUAUCGGUGAAAUGCGCAGAUAUCAGGAGGAACACCGGUGGCGAAGGCGGGUCUCUGGGCCGAUACUGACGCUGAGGAGCGAAAGCGUGGGGAGCAAACAGG